UAGAAACUAUAGCUCAAAUUAUUUUUAUUCGUGUAUUGUCUACAAAGUAGCAUUCCAUAAAUACUGAUAAUUCUUCCUGCACAUGCGAGAAUUGUUUUCACUAUUUUCAAAUAAAUACUACUCAAAAGAUUCAACUUUAGUUCAGUUAAACUGCAGUUAGGAUGCUCAAGAAUAAAUCAGGAUUGUGGUGCUAAUUACAUGCAUGGAAUUCCAUUAGCAGGGCAAUAAUAAAAGAAAAGUAGCACUAUCCCUACUAAGAAUUGGCAGGUGUUCCUUACAUAGAAGCAUUAGGAGCAGAAGAACAUCAUAAGAACAAUGAGCAGAUUCGACUGGAUUUCCCAAACCACUCUAAUGUCAUGUAGAGCACACUAGGACAUGUUUUAAACUUUUAGGAAAAAUUAUCAAAAUUUAAAACUACAAUAAAAUUUUAAAACUAACAUUAAUAGCUCUGUCAUACAUAUGUAGUGCAGUCCAAAUCACAUGGCAUCAUUUUUGUAUUGAUACUCUGUUUGCGCUUAAUGAACUCUCAGAAAUCAGUAAAGGGUUGAACUUCAGAAAUUUUAUAAAUUCCUUUGCCUAAUGUCAUGGAUUAUUUUCAUGAAACUUAAGCUCCAAAAAACAAUGAGCAUGACAUCAACGCAAUAGGCCAACAGAGCUAUGCACAGUCGCUGCCAUCCAGAUAAACUAAUGCCUAUGAUACCUGGACUCGGGUACGGAUGUCGGGUAUGUGUACAUAUCCGUGUGUCCAGUUCUUCAAAUUGAAAGCUGUCAUAGAGGGAGGAAAGGUAAAGUGAAGAGUCCGGGUAUCAUAAACUAAUGCAACAAGUGCCGGAUUUUAUGCUAAUUUGGCAAAUGUAAUCUAAUACUAAUAGACUAAUUCUCAUUGGUACCAAUGUCGAUGAUAAUUCAUCGGCAUUCUAGAACAGAAGUCUCCUCCUUUCCUACAUCUUACCCUUACCACUACUACCAUAGCUACUUAGCUAGUACUACCACCUAGGAAGCACAAACUCGGCAAAAUGGGUGUUGAGUCCGCAUCGAAUUCGUAUUGAGUGCGCAUACUCCAAACGUUCGGAAAAAUACGGUUGUGAUGCGGUCAAGCUGCGUCGGAACAGUAACAACAACACUGACUCACCAUAGACUCAUCUUCGACUCGGUAGGGACGCGUAACUUAAGAUGAAAACCACUUUCAAUAGCCAAAGCUUAUUCUAUUUUGAAGCGUGAACCCUAACUCACGACCAUAUCUAAAUCUUCUCCUUCCACAGUAGACCUCAGGCCUAGCUUGCAACCUCAUCUGAAGCAAUCAAGAAGCCCCAAAUUGUCGACUUCAGCCAGGCCCUAACUUGUCACAAGGUCUGCUCGUCAACUUCACCCUAACUUGCAACCAGCCAAAGCUAGUUGACUUCAUCCCAACUUCACCCUAACUCGCGACUAGGUAGUUGACCAAAGCAUAUCUACGUGUGACCUAAUAACUAUGGAGAAACCCACAGCGCGAAGACACGAAUGAGAUGAAUUGCUGCAGGGAAACCAAAGAGCUGCCAUGGAGCUGUGCGAAACCUUCUCUACCUACUCUGCUUCUCUACCUCCUCUGCCGUGGUUGCACUCAGAGGUGGGUUUCAAUCUCUCCGUUCAAUUCAAUGGUCAAACACUCAGGUCUGUUCUCCAUGGCAAGUGCAUAGCCGCGUAGAUUGGAAACAGAGUCGGAGGUGAAGCAAUACCUCUUUUGUUUCGACUAUUUGACCUAAUUUCACAAAAGCUUCUUCUCAAUAUAAUUUUGUUUCUUCACAAACAAUUACCUUCGUUUUUUUUAAAAAAAAUUUAAUUCCUCCG